UACGAAGGGGGCUAGCGUUGCUCGGAAUCACUGGGCGUAAAGGGUGCGUAGGCGGGUUUUUAAGUCAGGGGUGAAAUCCUGGAGCUCAACUCCAGAACUGCCUUUGAUACUGGGAAGCUCGAGUCCGGAAGAGGUGAGUGGAACUCCGAGUGUAGAGGUGAAAUUCGUAGAUAUUCGGAAGAACACCAGUGGCGAAGGCGGCUCACUGGUCCGGUACUGACGCUGAGGUGCGAAAGCGUGGGGAGCAAACAGG
rnacentral:rRNA from 1 species